rnacentral:rRNA from 1 species
UACAGAGGUCCCAAGCGUUGUUCGGAUUUACUGGGCGUAAAGGGCGCGUAGGCGGUCAGCACAAGUCAGUUGUGAAAUCUCCGAGCUUAACUCGGAAAGGUCAACUGAUACUGUGCGACUAGAGUGCGGAAGGGGCAACUGGAAUUCUUGGUGUAGCGGUGAAAUGCGUAGAUAUCAAGAGGAACACCUGCGGCGAAGGCGGGUUGCUGGGCCGACACUGACGCUGAUGCGCGAAAGCCAGGGGAGCGAACGGG